GUGACUGUGGCUCAGCAGGAAGAGCGCCGGACUGUGGAUCCGGAGGUCGCGGGUUCGAGUCCCGCCAGUCACCC
rnacentral:tRNA from 1 species